AUAUCAAUAAGCGGAGGAAAAGAAACUAACAAGGAUUCCCCUAGUAACGGCGAGUGAAGAGGGAAAAGCUCAAAUUUUGAAUCUGACGUCUUUGGCGUCCGAGUUGUAAUCUAGAGAAGUGUUUUCCGUACCGGACCGUGCACAAGUUCCCUGGAACGGGGCGUCAUAGAGGGUGAGAAUCCCGUAUAUGGCACGGACUACCGGCACUCUGUGAUACACUCUCAACGAGUCGAGUUGUUUGGGAAUGCAGCUCAAAAUGGGUGGUAAAUUCCAUCUAAAGCUAAAUACAGGCGAGAGACCGAUAGCGCACAAGUA
rnacentral:rRNA from 1 species